rnacentral:rRNA from 1 species
UACGUAGGUACCGAACGUUGCGCGAAUUUACUGGGCGUAAAGGGUCCGUAGGCGGUUUAGCAAGUGGGUGGUGAAAUUUCACGGCUCAAACGUGAAACUGCCUUCCAAACUGCUAAACUUGAGGCAGGGAGAGGUCGGCGGAAUGCCCGGUGUAGCGGUGAAAUGCGUAGAUAUUGGGCGGACAACCAGUGGCGAAGGCGGCCGACUGGAACUGUCCUGACGCUGAGGGACGAAAGCUAGGGGAGCAAACCGG